rnacentral:rRNA from 1 species
CAGCCGCCGCGGGAAUACAGAGGGUGCAAGCGUUAAUCGGAAUUACUGGGCGUAAAGCGCGCGUAGGUGGUUUGUUAAGUUGGAUGUGAAAGCCCCGGGCUCAACCUGGGAACUGCAUCCAAAACUGGCAAGCUAGAGUACGGUAGAGGGUGGUGGAAUUUCCUGUGUAGCGGUGAAAUGCGUAGAUAUAGGAAGGAACACCAGUGGCGAAGGCGACCACCUGGACUGAUACUGACACUGAGGUGCGAAAGCGUGGGGAGCAAACAGGAUUAGAUACCCCAGUAGUCCCUGUCUCUUAUAC